UCCUACGGGAGGCAGCAGUGGGGAAUAUUGCGCAAUGGGGGAAACCCUGACGCAGCGACGCCGCGUGGAUGAUGAAGGCCUUUGGGUUGUAAAAUCCUGUUCUGGGGGAAGAAAGCUUAAGGGUCCAAUAAGCCCUUAAGCUUGACGGUACCCCAAGAGAAAGCUCCGGCUAAUUAUGUGCCAGCAGCCGCGGUAAUACAUAAGGAGCAAGCGUUAUCCGGAAUUAUUGGGCGUAAAGAGCUCGUAGGCGGUCUUAAAAGUCAGGUGUGAAAUUAUCAGGCUCAACCUGAUAAGGUCAUCUGAAAACUUUAAGACUUGAGGAUAGAAGAGGAAAAGUGGACGGUGAAAAUGCGUAGAUAUCGGGAGGAACACCAGUGGCGAAGGCGGCUUUCUGGUCUAUCUCUGACGCUGAGGAGCGAAAAGCUAGGGGA
rnacentral:rRNA from 1 species